UACUACCGAAGCUACGGCAUCAGUAAUGAUGGGUAGGGGAGCUUCCCAUACGGGUUGAAGCAUGACCGUAAGGACAUGGGGACAGUAUGGGAGUGAGAAUGUUGGCAUGAGUAGCGAGAUGUGGGUGGGAAUCCCACAGGCCGUAAACCCAAGGUUUCCAGGGGAAGGUUCGUCCGCCCUGGGUUAGUCGGGGCGGAAGCUGACGU
rnacentral:rRNA from 1 species